rnacentral:piRNA from 1 species
UCCUAUCUUGCAUAUGGAAUUCC